GGGGGCGUGGCUCAGUGGCAGAACAGCUGCCUUGAAUGCAGAAGGUCCCAGGAUCAGCCCCUGGCAUCCUAA